rnacentral:rRNA from 1 species
UGGCGGCGUGCCUAAUACAUGCAAGUCGAGCGGAUGAUGGAGGAGCUUGCUCCUCCUGAUUCAGCGGCGGACGGGUGAGUAACACGUGGGCAACCUGCCCUGUAGAUUGGGAUAACUCCGGGAAACCGGGGCUAAUACCGAAUAAUCCACCGGACCUCAUGGUCUGGUGUUGAAAGACGGUUUCGGCUGUCACUACAGGAUGGGCCCGCGGCGCAUUAGCUAGUUGGUGAGGUAACGGCUCACCAAGGCCACGAUGCGUAGCCGACCUGAGAGGGUGAUCGGCCACACUGGGACUGAGACACGGCCCAGACUCCUACGGGAGGCAGCAGUAGGGAAUCUUCCACAAUGGACGAAAGUCUGAUGGAGCAACGCCGCGUGAGUGAAGAAGGUUCUCGGAUCGUAAAACUCUGUUGUGAGGGAAGAACAAGUACCGGAGUAACUGCCGGUACCUUGACGGUACCUCAUUAGAAAGCCACGGC